GGACUGUUAAGUGAGCAGGAAAUACAUUUCGAUUGUGUUAAGCCACUGAAAUUUUGUCUCUUUGUUACCACAGCUUAGCCUAACACAAUGUUAGGUACAUAAACAAAUCAAAUUUUUGGUCUGGAAAAAUAUGACCACUAAAGGGAAGGGUAACGGAAACUAACAUUCCUUUGGGGCUCAGUGAGUACCAGAACUAAUACUUGGCAAGUGGCAGGUUCAUUGCACAAUUCCUCCCAUAUAAUUUGUCUUGGAAGCCCACAAUGCCAGGUAUUAUGAUCCCUGUUCAACAGAUGAGGGAUCUGAAACAGAAAGGUAAUGUACAUUGCACAGCAACUAAAGCUGGAUUUUUAAAACUUCCUAUCAACAAAAACAUUUGUAUAAUAAAUGACCUCAAACCUCCCUGCGUUUUCUAUUAAAAAAUACUAAAGACUAUGUCCUGUCUUCAGUGCCUAAUACAAUGCCUGGAAAACCAGUGUUUAGUAGGUUUUUGCUGAUGGAAUUAGACUCUACAAAACCUCCUUAAGCUUGGUAGUCAUCCAUGCGCUUCACCAAAUAUUUCAAAAGCUCACCUCUUCCAGGCACAUGGUAGGGUGGCAUUGCCACGUUCCCUCAUGGCUGCACCAGGCCACUGGACAUGUUCUGGUCAGUGAGCUGUGAGAGGGAGAUUAAACAUUUCAUCUCCAGUGAAAGAUCCUUAGGAUUCUCAUUUUGGUCCACAGGAGCAAGGCAGUGUUCUAGAUGGGGACUGCCCGGUCAGCCUGGGUCCUGGAGUGAGGACAAUGACGCAGCAACUUCGCUGACACAGCAGACAGGCAGCAGAAGCAGAGGCAUAUAUUUGCUGUUCUAAAGCACUGAAGAUUUGAAAUUGUUUGUUAUCCCAGUGUAACCUAGCCUGUGCUGACUGAUUUGGCAAAGUAAAUCAUAAUCAGUUAGAUUUUCCAUUUUUAAUAACCGUAGAAAUAUACAUCUUCCAUUUAGAACCUCUAAUGAACAAAGUAGUAUGGUCACAUUAAACUGAUAGCACCCUGCCAAAAUCACAGCAAAGUGAUCAUUUUUUCAUAGCAGUGAUCUCAAUAGGAUAGUCUCAUUCCAUUUAAGAAUAUGAUUUCUGUUUGGCUUUUAUUUUAUUUUUUAAUUAACUAAUUAAUUUUUAUUAAAGCAUAGUUGAUUUACAGUGUUGUGCCAAUUUCUGUCAUACAGAAAAAUGACCCAGUCAUACAUAUAUAUACAUUCCCUUUGUUUUUUGUUUUUGUUUUUGUCUUUUCUAGGGCUUCACAUGUGGUAUAUAGAGGUUCCCAGGCUAGGGGUCUAAUUGGAGCUGUAGCCACCGGCCUACACUACAGCCACAGCAACACCAGAUCCGAGCCGCAUCUGUGACCUACACCACAACUCAUGGCAAUGCCGGAUCCUUAAUCCACUGAGCAAGGCCAGGGAUCGAACCGGCAGCCUCAUGUUUCCUAGUCAGAGUCCUUAACCACUGAGCCAUGACGGGAACUCCCACAUUCCCUUUCUUCUGUUAUCUUCCAUCCUGGUCUAUCCAAAGAGACUGGAUUUAGUUCCCUGUGCUAUACAGCAGGACUUCAUGGCUUAUCCAUUCUAAAUGUAAUAGUUUGCAUCUACAAACCCAAACUUCCAGUCCAUCCCACACCCUCCCCACUCCACUUGGCAACCACAAGUCUGUUCUCUAUGUCUGUGAGUCUGUUUCUGUUUUGUAAAUAAGUUCACUUGUAUCAUUUUUUAGAGUCCAUAUAUAAGUGAUAUCAUAUGAUAUUUGUCUUCUUUGUCUUACUUGGUAUGAUAAUCUCUAGAUCCAUCCAUGUUACUGCAAAUGGCAAUAUUUCAUUUUUAUGGCUGAUUAAUAUUCUACUAUAUCUAUUGAUAAGUAGAUGGGUAGAUAGAUAGAUAGAUAGAUAGAUAGAUAUAAAACAUCUUAUUUAUCCCAUUCAUUUGUUGAUGGGCAUUCAGGUUUCUUCCAUGUCUUGGCUACUCUAGUGCUGCUAUGAGCAUUGGGGUACACGUAUCUUUUCAAAUUAUAUUUUCCUCUUGUAUGUCUCUAGGAAUGGGAUUGCAGAAUCAUAUGGUAGUUGUUCUAUUUUUAGUUUUUUGAGGAACCUCUGUAUUGUUCUCCAUAGUGGCUGUACCAAUUACAUGUUUACUGACAGUGUAGGAGGAUUCCCUUUUAUCCACACCCUGUCCAGCCUUUAUUACUUGUAGACUUUUUGAUGAUGGCCAUUCUGACUGGUGUGAGGUGAUAGCUCAUUAUGGUUUUGAUUUGCGUUUUACUAAUAAUUAGCAAUGUUGAGCAUCUUUUCAUGUGUCUGUCGGUCAUCUGUAUGUCUUCUUUGGAGAAAUGUCUUUUUAGAUCUUCUGUCUAUUUCUUGACUGGGUUGUUUANUUUUUUUUUUUUUUUUUUUUUAAGGGCCGCACUCGUGGCAUAUGGAGGUUCUCAGACUAGGGGUUAAAUUGGAGCUGUUGCUGCCGGCCUACACCACAGCCGCAGCAACACCAGAUCUGAGCAAUGUCUGCAACCUAUGCCUCAUCUCACAGCAACAUUGGAUUCUUAACCUACUGAGUGAGGCCAGGGAUCAAAUCUGCGUCCUCGUGGAUGCUAAUCAGAUUCAUUUGUGCUUAGCCACAAUGGGAACUCCCUGCAAAUAUUUCGAUCAUUUUUUCAGGCUUUGAAAACUCAUGUAUAACUUAGGUGCUUGUUGCUAUUUCAGCUCUUGUUUCUGUUCAGUGUGCUUAGUUCUGUAUCACUGGCCUGAUGAACCCUAGAAACCCUCCCAGUCUGGCCCACUGGAAAGAGCCUGCUCUUUGGAAACAGUCCAUUUUUUCACCUCUCUGCACUUCAGUUUCCUUACUUAUACAGAGGAAUAUAAUAUACUACCUCACAGUGCUGUUGUGAAGAUCAAAUGAACUAUCAUAUCUGCUGCACUUCAAGCAGCUUACAGCGCAUGUGAUGUUGGCUUCCUGAGUGUGUCGGGGGCCUUUCAGCUCUGAAUGUGGUGACCAUGUGUUUGAGUUUGUCCUAAAUGGUCCCAAUUUCUCUUCUUGUUUUUACAUAAUUAUUAAGAGUGUCCUCUUUCACACUCAAAUAUUCCUGCUGAGACAACUGAUUGCAUGAUCCUAUAGUUCUAAGCAUUGUGGGUCUGUGAUCUUGAUUAUAACAAGCACCAGGACCCGUGCAGGUGCCGUCUUCUGUGGACCUUCCUUUGGUCAUUCAGUAACUGUUCUCUCUUGCAGGGUGUUCAAGACAGGGCUGCUUUAGCCUGAAGUUUUCACAUUAAUGUGAUAGUAGACAUCUCAGAGGCAUAGAAGCACAGGGCUGGAGAGAACGCAAAGAUCAUUUAGUCCAACACCUCCAUUUUUCCUGGGCAGAACACAGGAGGGAGGUCACUCAGUCAUUAGCAGCUAUCCAGUUCUCAUGGUCACACUUCUUAUAUGCUAGCCUAGUAGGUGGGUGUCCAAGCCCUACGAUGAAAUUACAGAGCUCAAGUCACACUUCUUAUAUUCUAGCCUAGUAGGUGGGUGACCAAGCCCUACGAUGAAAUUACAGAGCUCAAGGCCUAGCACUGCUCCAUGCUAGAUACUUCCCACUUGUCAUGUGUGGGUCAUGGUAUACCCACCUCCUCGUUGUUGAGAGAGUUCCUGAGUGCUGAGCACAUGUGGGACACAGUGGGUGCUCAGAAAAUAUUGCCCGGCUUCUGCUCUCAUGCUUGAUCUACCUCAUGGAUCCAGCCAUGGGCAUUGUGAUUUUGUUAUAUACUGGGCUGUGCAAAUGCUUGAACGAUCUUUGUCCUCAUGGAGUAUAUUGUCCAGAAGUCUGACUCUCUCUGAAAAUUCUUUACAAUCAGUUCAUUGUAAGAAGUGGGGCAGGAUGUGGCUGAGGAGAAUCUGGCCAUUCCCUCCCAUAAAAUAUACUUUGCAAGCCUAAAAGUAAAUAAUAAGAUAAUGAUUAUGGGCACAUAUUUGUAAAUCCAGACUGUCUGUGUUCAGAUCCUCACUCUGUCACUUGUUAGCCAUGUGACUUGACUUAGUGCCUUAAUUUCUCCAUGCUCUGGUCUUCCCACCUAUGAAAUCGGGGUUGGUGCCAUAAUACUCACCACACUGCAUGGUUGUGAUGGUUGAUGUGCUAAUAUGAAAUAAGAACUUAGAACAGCACCUCAAGUGUAAAAGCUGUGUCAUGCCCAAUAGUUAAAAAUUAUUACUACAUGUGCUAAAUUACUUUCUCUAAUAUCUUUCUCUUCUUUCUCUACCUAAUGAAACCCCGGUCAUUAUUUCACUCUACCACAAUGCUUUUUUAUUUAUUAAACAGCAGGACAAAGUAAUACAACAAUCAGCAGGGUAAUGUAAUACAAAUAAGGGGAAGUCAUUUACAAAGCAUUACUCCAUUAAGGUUUCUGCCACCGUGUCCCCACGUUCUCUUGCAGUCUUAGAAAAUUCACACUCAUGAACUUUACCUGGAUUUAAUUAUAUGGCAUUAUUUAUUUAUUUUUCUUUCAACUUUUUAUUUUAACAUGAUUUCAGGUUUGCAGAAAAAUGGCAGAAUAGUGCCAAGAAUGCCUGUGUCUUAAUUUUGGGCUGUUACAACAAAGUACCAUCGACUGGGGGCUUAUAAAGAACAUGAAUUUUUUUCCUCACAUCUCUGGAAACUAGGAAGUCUGAGAGCAUAAGGCUGGCAUGGCUGGGUUCUGGUGAGGGCACUUUUCUGGUUGCAGGCUGCCCACUUCUCCCUGUAUUCUCACAGGGCUGAAGGAGAAAGAGAACAAGGAAGCUAUCUCAUGACAUUUCUAAGGGCACUAAUCCUGUUCAUGAGGGCUCUACCCUCCUGAUUCCAUCUGUUAAUCCUAAUUACCUCCCAAAGACCCCACCCACUUCCUACUACCAUCACGUCGGCGGGUAGGAUUUCAAUCUAUGAAUUUUGGAAAGAACGCAAACAUAUAGUCCCUAACAUCCUUUAUACUUUUCCCCCAGAUUCCCCAAAUGUUAAUAUCUUAUCACAUUUGAAAAUUCUCUUUCUCUCACCAAUGUUUUUUGAAACCUUGGAGAAUAUGUUGCAGACAUGAUAUUUCUUUAUCCCUAAAUGUUUCAGUGUGUUUUUACUAAAAACAAGGAUAUUCUCUUCCAUAACCACAGUAUAAUAAACAAAAUCAGAAAAUUAGCAUUGAGACAAUACUAUUACAUUAUUCAAAUUUUACAAAUGUUCUAAUAAUGGCUUUUAUAACAAAAGAAAACCAUGGCUUAUAUACUCCGUUCACUUGUCAUGCCUCUUCUGUAUUAGUUAAUCUGGAGCAAGUUCAUUCAGUUGCUCUGUGUCUUUAAUGGCAUUGACAUCUUUGAAAUGUGCUGGUCGGUUAUUUUGUAGAACAUUCCUCAAUUUGGUUAUCUGAUGUUCUCUCAUGAUUAGGUUCAGUUUAUGCAUUUGUGGGCAAAAACAUCACAGAAAGAUGUUGGCCCUUCCGUGCUUUUUGUCAGGAGGCACAUGGUGUCAAAUUGUCCCAUUACUGAUGAUGUUAAUUUGACCUCUUGAUUUAAAGUGGUAUGUGCCAGUUUUCUCUACUCAAGUUCCUAUUUUCCUCUUUCUAGUUAAGUGAUUUUGGACAGAUGCUUUGAAACUAUGCAAAUAUCCUGUUACUCCUAAAAGUUUCACCCACCAGUUUUAGCACUCAUUCAUAAUUCUUGCUGAAUCAAUGAUUAUUGUUAUAGUUGCCAAAUGGUGAUCUUCUAAAUGCAGUAUUUUGUCUUCUUUCUUUUGUUGGAUUUCUACUGUAAGGAAGAUCUUUCCCUUCUCUACCUUUUGCUUAGAUCCAUACAGACUCCUGUAUGUAUUCUUUUUCUAUGCCAUGAAUUAUAAUCUUAUUUAUUUGUUUUGCGAUUCAUAUUGUAUCAAUGGUUGCCUCUAGUCAUUUUCCAAAUUUGCUUUUAAAAACCAUUUCUUUCAGAAGCCUGGUCCAGUCUACUCAAGCUCAUCGAGUAGCUUACUCCCUUGUGUGCCUCUGGAUUGUGUAUUUUCCUCUCCUUCUACAUUUCUUGUUGGGUACUUGUUGGUUUUAUUUCACAUUAGUCUGUGAACUCUUGAGUGUAAGGAAGAUGUCUGAUUCAUCUCUGUUUAGUGCAGUGAUUGGAGCAAGGGGGAAACACAGUUCAUCCUUGUUGAAAACAUGAAUGAAUGGAAGAAAGAAAAAAAAAA
rnacentral:lncRNA from 1 species